rnacentral:rRNA from 1 species
AUUGAACGCUGGCGGCAUGCCUUACACAUGCAAGUCGAACGGCAGCACGGGUGCUUGCACCUGGUGGCGAGUGGCGAACGGGUGAGUAUUACAUCGGAACGUACCUAAUCGUGGGGGAUAACGCAGCGAAAGCUGUGCUAAUACCGCAUACGCCCUGAGGGGGAAAGCGGGGGGUCGCAAGACCUCGCGCGAUUAGAGCGGCCGAUGCCUGAUUAGCUUGUUGGUGGGGUAAAAGCCCACCAAGGCGACGAUCAGUAGCUGGUCUGAGAGGACGAUCAGCCACACUGGGACUGAGACACGGCCCAGACUCCUACGGGAGGCAGCAGUGGGGAAUUUUGGACAAUGGGGGCAACCCUGAUCCAGCAAUGCCGCGUGAGUGAAGAAGGCCUUCGGGUUGUAAAGCUCUUUUGUCAGGGAAGAAACACCGGCUCUAACACAGUCCGGGAAUGACGGUACCUGAAGAAUAAGCACCGGCUAACUACGUGCCAGCCGCCGCGGUAA